CUUCGCCUUGCGUAGUUAUGGAAGAAAUCGAUUAACGAGCGCAGCGAUCUGCCAUGUGGGGCUCAAAGUACUUGAGCCCAGUCCGUAUCAGGCAGAAGGCACUCAGAUCCAUCAUUAAAAAGCAAAACACUGCCUCCACCACCGAGAUGCAGCUCGGUAUCAGCUGAAUACUAAAACAAAUGGCUCUCCAACUCCAUUUCUACCACAGGCAGUAUGCUGCCUGACAAGUUACUGCAAGAAGAAAGACACAGCACUACAUGACACAGCCCCAAACCCUGGUAUGGUUAAGUGCCCCAGGAUGCAACCCUGACAGACGGAGGCAGGGGGAAUGCCAGCAAGCCCCACAGGCUGGGACACUGGACAUCUGGCUGGCAAAAUACAUGGCUACUCCCAGGCCAUUUCAGACAGGAUUAAUGGGAAUUGGCAGCAUUUCUUUCUCUGUUCAGGUGCUCAGUGGAGUUUCUGUGAUGAUGGCAAGGCAUUUUUCUCCCACCAGCAAUCCCACGUAGCACCUGCAGGAGCCCUUUGGAGUAGCCUAUAUAACUGAGCAGCAGACUAGAGCACAACACAUCUGAAAUGCAAGAAUGCGCACCAGGAGCCUUUGUCUCUGAUAUUUCUUCAUGUUUACCCUUCCUGCCUUUGGCUAAAUUCCUUUGAAACCAAGGCCGUGCUACACACAAUUCAUCUAAAUCAGCCCCAUCUGGCCUUUGUUCCUGAGGAGGGCCUUAUUUAUAGCAGUCACUGUUGAACUUUUACAGUCUUGGAUAAUUUUUCACCCUUAACUCAGCAAGCCAUAAACAAUUACCGUCUCAGUACCUUAGAUAAAUAGCUAUGGAAACCCUGAGGGAAAGGCUGGAUUUUGUUUGCUCACUGGGGGCGAGGGGACAGUGUUUUGGGGUUAUUUUGCUGGUGAUGGUUUGUUUUGCUGUGACACGUUAAGUGGGGAGAGGCAUCUUGGACCUGAACCCAGGAGAUCCCUUAGAGACUGGACCCAGUGAGAUGCUAAAGGCAACCUAACGAACACUGCUUAACGUCUGCUGGAUCGGAAGGCAAGUAAAGAUGUGGCAGCGCUGGCAUUACAUAGAGGGAGGAGAUGAG